AUUUCUCUAGUAUAAUUAGUACAAUUGACUUCCAAUCAAUUAGCUCUGGUAUAAACCAGAGAGAAAUA
rnacentral:tRNA from 1 species